GACGAACGCUGGCGGCGUGCCUAAUACAUGCAAGUAGAACGCUGAAGAGAGGAGCUUGCUCUUCUUGGAUGAGUUGCGAACGGGUGAGUAACGCGUAGGUAACCUGCCUUGUAGCGGGGGAUAACUAUUGGAAACGAUAGCUAAUACCGCAUAACAAUGGAUGACACAUGUCAUUUAUUUGAAAGGGGCAAUUGCUCCACUACAAGAUGGACCUGCGUUGUAUUAGCUAGUAGGUGAGGUAAUGGCUCACCUAGGCGACGAUACAUAGCCGACCUGAGAGGGUGAUCGGCCACACUGGGACUGAGACACGGCCCAGACUCCUACGGGAGGCAGCAGUAGGGAAUCUUCGGCAAUGGGGGCAACCCUGACCGAGCAACGCCGCGUGAGUGAAGAAGGUUUUCGGAUCGUAAAGCUCUGUUGUAAGUCAAGAACGGGUGUGAGAGUGGAAAGUUCACACUGUGACGGUAGCUUACCAGAAAGGGACGACUAACUACGUG
rnacentral:rRNA from 1 species